AACUACGAAUACCGAAGAAUGUUAUCACGGGAGACACACGGCGGGUGCUAACGUCCGUCGUGAAGAGGGAAACAACCCAGACCGCCAGCUAAGGUCCCAAAGUCAUGGUUAAGUGGGAAACGAUGUGGGAAGGCACAGACAGCCAGGAUGUUGGCUUAGAAGCAGCCAUCAUUUAAAGAAAGCGUAAUAGCUCACUGGUCGAGUCGGCCUGCGCGGAAGAUGUAACGGGGCUAAACCAUGCACCGAAGCUGCGGCAGCGAC
rnacentral:rRNA from 1 species